AGGAUAAACGCUGGCGGCGUGCCUAAUACAUGCAAGUCGAGCGGCAGCGCGGUCUUCGGACUGGCGGCGAGCGGCGGACGGCUGAGUAACACGUAGGAACGUACCCCAAAGUGAGGGAUAAGCACCAGAAAUGGUGUCUAAUACCGCAUGUGCUCUAAGGAGUAAAGCUUCGGCGCUUUGGGAACGGCCUACGCAUGAUUAGCUUGUUGGUGAGGUAAUGGCUCACCAAGGCGACGAUCAUUAGCUGGUCUGAGAGGAUGAUCAGCCAGACUGGGACUGAGAACGGCCCAGACUCCUACGGGAGGCAGCAGUAGGGAAUUUUCCACAAUGGGCGAAAGCCUGAUGGAGCAACGCCGCGUGCAGGAUGAAGGCCUUAGGGUUGUAAACUGCUUUUAUGUGUGACGAAUAUGACGGUAGCAUAUGAAUAAGGAUCGGCUAACGUCCGUGCCAGCAGCCGC
rnacentral:rRNA from 1 species